GACGAACCGUGCAAACGUUGUUCGGAAUCACUGGGCUUAAAGGGCGCGUAGGCGGCCACGCCAGUCUGGGGUGAAAUCUUUCGGCUCAACCGGAAAAUUGCCUGGGAUACUGCGUGGCUCGAGGGAGGUAGGGGCGGUCGGAACUUCCAGUGGAGCGGUGAAAUGCGUAGAGAUCGGGAGGAACACCCGUGGCGAAGGCGGCCUGCUGGGCCGAUCCUGACGCUGAGGCGCGAAGGCGUGGGGAGCGAACGGG
rnacentral:rRNA from 1 species